GACGAACCGUGCGAACGUUAUUCGGAAUCACUGGGCUUAAAGCGCGUGUAGGCGGAAGGGCACGUCCGUUGCUGAAAUCCCCCGGCUCAACCGGGGAACGGGCGCGGAUACGACUCUUCUGGAGGGGCGUAGGGGGACCUGGAACUUCCGGUGGAGCGGUGAAAUGCGUUGAGAUCGGAAGGAACGCCCGUGGCGAAAGCGAGGUCCUGGACGCCUACUGACGCUGAGACGCGAAAGCGUGGGGAGCAAACAGG
rnacentral:rRNA from 1 species